rnacentral:rRNA from 1 species
UAGCGUAUAUUAAAGUUGUUGCGGUUAAAAAGCUCGUAGUUGGAUUUCAGUUCUGGACUGACGGUUCACCGCCCGGUGCAUACUGUCACGCUCCGAACAAGCAUAACAGCCCGCUGGCUCGCACGGGGUGCUCUUCAUCGAGUGUCCCGCGUGGCCGGCAGAGUUUACUUUGAAAAAAUUAGAGUGCUCAAAGCAGGCUACACUUACGGCCUGAAUGCCUAUGCAUGGAAUAAUGGAAUAGGACCUCGGUUCUAUUUUGUCGGUUUUCUGAACCCGAGGUAAUGACUAAUAGGAACAGGCGGGGGCAUUCGUAUUGCGACGCU